rnacentral:rRNA from 1 species
AGAGCGAACGCUGGCGGCAGGCCUAAUACAUGCAAGUCGAACGGAUCCUUCGGGAUUAGUGGCGGACGGGUGAGUAACACGUGGGAACGUGCCCUUUGGUUCGGAACAACUCAGGGAAACUUGAGCUAAUACCGGAUGUGCCCUUCGGGGGAAAGAUUUAUCGCCAUUGGAGCGGCCCGCGUCUGAUUAGCUAGUUGGUGGGGUAAAGGCCUACCAAGGCUACGAUCAGUAGCUGGUCUGAGAGGAUGAUCAGCCACACUGGGACUGAGACACGGCCCAGACUCCUACGGGAGGCAGCAGUAGGGAAUCUUGCGCAAUGGGCGAAAGCCUGACGCAGCCAUGCCGCGUGAAUGAUGAAGGUCUUAGGAUUGUAAAAUUCUUUCAGUGGGGACGAUAAUGACGGUACCACAGAAGAAGCCCGGCUAACUUCGUGCCAGCAGCCGC